UAAUAUUAAGUGCUGCACUGAUCUGGGAUGACUUGAAUACAAUGAUAGGAACAAGACAAGGGGAGAGGAAAUGAGGGGCUGGCCUCUAAGACAGGGAACAGAGAGAGACUUUCUGUGCCCUUCAAUUCUGCAAUGGCAAAGAAGCUUUUCAUAGUGGAGCACAUUUAAGCAGCAAAAGAAAGAGAAA